GCUGGGUGUGGUGGAGUGCACCUGUAAUCUCAGCCACUCAUGAGGCUGGGGUGGGAGGAUUGCUUGAGCCCAGGAGGUCAGGACCACAGUGAGCCAUACUUGUGCCACUGCACUCCAGCCUGGGCAAUGAAGUGAGAUCCUGUCUCUA
rnacentral:SRP_RNA from 1 species